rnacentral:rRNA from 1 species
AUGUGGAAUGAUGAGCUUCAAGUUCAUGUGAAUACGGCUUCCUUCUAUGUUAUCUUAGCGAAUGUAGUUCAUAUAGCUACCGGUAGAGAUUUUGGUCUAGUUUGCAUCUAUGGUGAUCCUUAUCACAGACAAACUGAUGUGAUUUGGGAUCAGAUUUCAAAUUUUGUGUAUGAUAACCCUGGGAAGCCUAUGUUAUGUAUGGGAGAUCUCAAUGAACUUUUGUAUGAUGUGGAUAAAAGUAAUGCUAAUGUGAAUUAUCGUCGCCUGUAUGCUUUU